GACGGAGGAUGCAAGUGUUAUCCGGAAUCACUGGGCGUAAAGCGUCUGUAGGUGGUUCGAAAAGUCCACUGUUAAAAAUUGAGGCUUAACUUCAAAGAUGCCGUGGAAACUUUCAAACUAGAGUAUGGUAGGGGUAGAGGGAAUUUCCAGUGGAGCGGUGAAAUGCGUAGAUAUUGGAAAGACCACCGAUGGCGGAGGCACUCUACUGGGCCACUACUGACACUGAGAGACGAAAGCUAGGGGAGCAAAUGGG
rnacentral:rRNA from 1 species